UACGAAGGGGGCUAGCGUUGUUCGGAAUCACUGGGCGUAAAGCGUACGUAGGCGGUGCAGAAAGUCAGAUGUGAAAUCCCGGGGCUUAACCUCGGAAUGGCAUUUGAAACUACUGUGCUCGAGUGUGACAGAGGAUGAUGGAAUUCCUAGUGUAGCGGUGAAAUGCGUAGAUACUAGGAGGAACACCAGUGGCGAAGGCGGUCAUCUGGGUCACAACUGACGCUAAGGUACGAAAGCGUGGGUAGCAAACAGG
rnacentral:rRNA from 1 species